rnacentral:lncRNA from 1 species
UCCUCCUCUUAAGCCUAUUGUUAUGAAAUUCCAGCUGUUGUGUUCAUUUUGUAGCUGUAAUCAGCCCUUUGUGUUCCUCUCUGUGCAGAAGCAGACGCGUGGAGGCCUCAGAGAUGGUCCAACGCAGCCCAGCGGGGUUCAGGAUGCAGCUGAUGAAGGUAGAUGUUAUGACAACGUGCUGUGACGGUUGGACGCGACACAAACACAAAAGAAGAGGAUGGAUUUUGGAAGGCGGGGAUUUCCGCGAGAGUCGGACGGAUUGAAGCGGGCGCGACGACGCCGAGAGCCCGGCUGCGAUCAGAGACGGGCCGUCGGCGCUCCAUCCAGGUGUGAAGGAACGUCUGUGUUCUGCUGUAAUCCCAGACCAUAAGUCCCUGCAGACGCCCGCCGCCGCCGCCGCCGCCGCCAGGCCACCGCGAUGAGCAUUCGGUCCACGAGGUCCCGGAGAUUUCUGAGAAUCCGGAGCUCUCAAUUAAAUCGUGAAGAGCGCUUGCUGCGGCGUAUGCGUAAUGACAGCGGUGCUUCUGAGACUUGACUAAAUGCGUUCUGCUUUGUGUGUGGGCGCCCCACGUCUGAGAAGGCCCAUUUAUCUGCCUUAAAGGAAUUACUGGCUUAGACUGCAACUUAACACACGGAUAUCUCGUCAUACGUUUGCCUGUUUUAUUAAGAGGACUU